rnacentral:rRNA from 1 species
CUGAACCAGCCAAGUAGCGUGAAGGAUGAAGGCUCUAUGGGUCGUAAACUUCUUUUAUAUAAGAAUAAAGUGCAGUAUGUAUACUGUUUUGUAUGUAUUAUAUGAAUAAGGAUCGGCUAACUCCGUGCCGGCAGCCGCGGUAAUACGGAGGAUCCGAGCGUUAUCCGGAUUUAUUGGGUUUAAAGGGAGCGUAGGUGGACUGGUAAGUCAGUUGUGAAAGUUUGCGG